rnacentral:rRNA from 1 species
GGGCCCGCACAAGCGGUGGAGUAUGUGGUUUAAUUCGAUGCAACGCGAAGAACCUUACCAGGGUUUGACAUCCUGCGAAUCUCUUGGAAACGAGAGAGUGCCUUCGGGAACGCAGUGACAGGUGGUGCAUGGCUGUCGUCAGCUCGUGUCGUGAGAUGUUGGGUUAAGUCCCGCAACGAGCGCAACCCACGUCGUUAGUUGCCAGCAUUUAGUUGGGCACUCUAGCGAGACCGCCGGUGAUAAACCGGAGGAAGGUGUGGAUGACGUCAAGUCAUCAUGCCCCUUACAUCCUGGGCUACACACGUACUACAAUGCUACGGACAAAGGGCAGCAAACUCGCGAGAGCUAGCAAAUCCCAUAAACCGUGGCUCAGUUCAGAUCGUAGGCUGCAACUCGCCUACGUGAAGGAGGAAUCGCUAGUAAUCGCAGGUC